rnacentral:rRNA from 1 species
AUUGAACGCUGGCGGCAGGCCUAACACAUGCAAGUCGAGCGUGAAAGUUCCUUCGGGAGCGAGUAGAGCGGCGGACGGGUGAGUAACGCGUAGGAAUCUGCCCAGUAGUGGGGGACAACAUGGGGAAACUCAUGCUAAUACCGCAUACGCCCUAAGGGGGAAAGCAGGGGAUCUUCGGACCUUGCGCUAUUGGAUGAGCCUGCGUCGGAUUAGCUAGUUGGUGGGGUAAUGGCCUACCAAGGCGACGAUCCGUAGCUGGUCUGAGAGGAUGAUCAGCCACACUGGGACUGAGACACGGCCCAGACUCCUACGGGAGGCAGCAGUGGGGAAUAUUGGACAAUGGGGGAAACCCUGAUCCAGCCAUGCCGCGUGUGUGAAGAAGGCCUUCGGGUUGUAAAGCACUUUCAAUAGGGAGGAAAAGUUAAUGGCUAAUACCCAUUAACCCUGACGUUACCUAUAGAAGAAGCACCGGCAAACUCCGUGCCAGCAGCCGCGGUAAUACGGAGGGUGCGAGCGUUAAUCGGAAUUACUGGGCGUAAAGCGCGCGUAGGCGGUUUGAUUAGCUGGAUGUGAAAGCCCCGGGCUUAACCUGGGAAUUGCAUCCAGAACUGUCAGGCUAGAGUACAGUAGAGGUGAGUGGAAUUUCCUGUGUAGCGGUGAAAUGCGUAGAUAUAGGAAGGAACAUCAGUGGCGAAGGCGGCUCACUGGACUGAUACUGA